UAAAUUGUUGGAUUUCUGUGCUUUUGAAAUCUUGUUUUAAAUUUCUUCUCCUCUUCAAUCUUAUUCAGAUUCUGCCCCCCUUAAAACUGUUGCUGUCAACAUCAGAACUGCUCUUUUUGCCAACAGUUUAAAUGAUGACUGGGCAUGGACCUUAAUGCUGCAACCCGGAAUAAGCAAAAUGCCAGGUAAGGCAAUGGCAGAAACUGGGGAAGCUGAAAUAGAUCUGCU
rnacentral:lncRNA from 13 species